rnacentral:SRP_RNA from 1 species
CCAGUCCCUAGUCAUGUGGGGAUGUAACUCAAGUGGGUGGCUUAGUAGGUGGAUGGAGACAGGGCUAGGGUAGAGGUUUGGUUUCACGGUAGUCUGCUAAGAGAUUGCCUAACGUAAAGUUUGUGUUGCCAGAGCAGUUCACGAGUAAUAUGGACUGAUCGGGCAUUAAAUAUUGGUGCACCAUCCUAGAGGCAGGCAACUGAACAGGAAACAGCCGAAGCACAAACUGGUACUUAGAUAACGAUCUCAUUGACUAUCCAAGCAAUCGCUCUACCCUGUCUCCAGCACAUCGAUCCUU